rnacentral:rRNA from 1 species
UGAACGCUAGCGGCAGGCUUAACACAUGCAAGUCGAGGGGCAGCAUGACGGAACUUUCGGGUUUUGUUGAUGGCGACCGGCGCAAGGGUGCGUAACGCGUGAGCAACUUGCCCUUAUCAGGGGAAUAACCGUUGGAAACGACGACUAAUACCCCAUAGCAUCACUUCAAGGCAUCUUUUAGUGAUUAAAGAAUUUCGGAUAAGGAUAGGCUCGCGUGACAUUAGCUAGAUGGCGGGUAACGGCCCACCAUGGCGACGAUGUCUAGGGGUUCUGAGAGGAAGGUCCCCCACACUGGAACUGAGACACGGUCCAGACUCCUACGGGAGGCAGCAGUGAGGAAUAUUGGUCAAUGGUCGAGAGACUGAACCGGCCAUGCCGCGUGAAGGUCACGGCCCUAUGGGUCUUAAACUUCUUUUGUAAGGGAGCAAUAAGGUUCACGUGUGGACUGAUGAGAGUACCUUACGAAUAAGCAUCGGCUAACUCCGUG